UCAGUAGCGAAGUGGAUAACGCGAUGGCGUUUGAAGCGAACGGUACUGGAUUCGAGUCCCAGAGUGA
rnacentral:tRNA from 1 species